CAAGGCUGGCUGUUUAAAGACAGCAGCUUCCAUCCCCACAUAAAAACAGAGAUAUAUCUACUUUCUCUGCUAAUUGUAAGUACUGGGAUCUUGCAGCUAGAACAUUUUUUCCCACUUGGAUUUGUUAAAGUUUUUAUGACACAGGUGGUUUACUGACUCUAUGCCACCAAGGGUAAAGAGAACGACAAUGAAGACUGGAGAGUCCUGGAGUCAAAGAUGAGUCCUCAUGGAGGUGAGAAGCAGAAGCCAAAGGUUCUGCCAAGGAUGGGCACUGUCGAGCAAAAGACAUCUGCAGAGGCAAGCCCGGAGGACGGCGCUCCUAAGCAGAGGAAGGGCCUUGUCGCAAGCUGCGUUUGAACGUGCCCGUUGGUGCUGCUGGACUGGAUUCCUUCCAGGGCACAGUCCCCCAGGGAUCCGUACAGAGACUUGGCCACACUGGUCACUUGAGGAGGGUGACAGACGCGUAAUUAGCAAAGGGUUGCACUGCAGAGACUCACAUCCCGGGAGAGAUUGCCCUUUGGAUAGGGGAGAAGAGCAGUUUAAAAUCUGGGCUCAGGGGUGUGUUGCAGAGGGAUGGUGUUACCGACUUCCCCCUGGCGUCAGAGCGCAACGUUCUCUAGGUUAUCUACUUUAGUCUUCUAGUGCACCACACUGGUGUGGAUGUCAAUGACUAAAGUCUGUGUUGAACUUGUAUAAGGAAAAACGGAAAAAAAGAAUAAGCCAAUAAACGCCAUCAUUAUUUUAAAGAAAGAUGA